UAUCACAUACACAGCCCAACAGGACAAUGACAAUAAUCCACCAACAGCAUACAAAUCAAUAUGGCUAACCUGAUCCAAAACACCCACCCACCUCACUCACACACGAAAACAAAGAUCACCACAGCCAAUCACAAGCAAACAAUCACACCCUAGGCCAACCCCAACCUCUCUCACCACCAAAGGAACACAAGUGAACAACACAAGCAACGCUGACACCAAACUCUACAUACAUUAAACAUAAUAGAAACACCGCCACCCGACCCCACCCCCAUCCAUCUUCCCUCUCUCCACCCCCCCUUUUUCUUUUUUCUUUUUUUUUUCUUCUCCCCCUAAUGCCUCAACAAAUGAAACGGAUUUGUAAAAAUGUUACAUGGGGAAAAAAAAUACGAGGCACUACACUUCUGUAAAACAAGAAAAUCCUUAAUAAAAUAUUU